CAAUAGCGUAUAUUAAAGUUGUUGCAGUUAAAAAGCUCGUAGUUGGAUUUCUGGUGGGAGCGAUCGGUCUGGCGCUUAGCGCGAGUACUUGCAUCGUCUCCGGCCAUCCUUGGGGAGAGUCUGUCUGGCAUUAGGUUGUCGGGCAGAGGAUCCUCAUCGUUUACUGUGAAAAAAUUAGAGUGUUCAAAGCAGGCUUAUGCCGUUGAAUAUAUUAGCAUGGAAUAAUAAGAUAGGACUUUGGUACUAUUUUGUUGGUUUGCGCACUAAAGUAAUGAUUAAUAGGGACAGUUGGGGGUAUUCGUAUUCCGUUGUCAGAGGUGAAAUUCUUGGAUUUACGGAAGACGAACUACUGCGAAAGCAUUUACCAAGGAUGUUUUCAUUAA
rnacentral:rRNA from 1 species